GAUGAACGCUGACAGAAUGCUUAACACAUGCAAGUCAACUGUGGCGGACGGGUGAGUAACGCGUAAAGAACUUGCCUCACAGAUAGGGACAACAUUUGGAAACGAACGCUAAUACCUGACACUGUGAGAGAGCUUUGCGUCCCAUUAGCUAGUUGGAGAGGUAACGGCCCACCAAGGCGAUGAUGGGUAGCCGGCCUGAGAGGGUGAUCGGCCACAAGGGGACUGAGACACGGCCCUUACGCCUACGGGAGGCAUCAGUGGAGACUAUUGGACAAUGGACCAAAGUCUGAUCCAGCAAUUCUGUGUGCACGAUGAAGUUUUCGGAAUGUAAAGUGCUUUCAGUUGGGAAGCGGUACCAACAGAAGAAGUGACGGCUAAAUACGUGCCAGCAGCCGCGGUAAUUC
rnacentral:rRNA from 1 species